CCACAGCAGGAAACUUGGUCAACUCGGUCAUUUAGAGGAGAUAAAAGGGGUAACAAGGUAACCAGUAGCGGGGGAGAACUACGCGUAAGCGUAGCUAAUACCGCAUACGCCCUACGGGGGAAAGCAGGGGAUCGCAAGACCUUGCACUAUUGGAGCGGCCGAUAUCGGAUUAGCUAGUUGGUGGGGUAACGGCUCACCAAGGCGACGAUCCGUAGCUGGUUUGAGAGGACGACCAGCCACACUGGGACUGAGACACGGCCCAGACUCCUACGGGAGGCAGCAGUGGGGAAUUUUGGACAGUGGGGGAAACCCUGAUCCAGCCAUCCCGCGUGUGCGAUGAAGGCCUUCGGGUUGUAAAGCACUUUUGGCAAGAAAGAAACGUCGUGGGUUAAUACCCCGCGAAACUGACGGUACCUGCAGAAUAAGCACCGGCUAACUACGUGCCAGCAGCCGCGGUAAUACGUAGGGUGCAAGCGUUAAUCGGAAUUACUGGGCGUAAAGCGUGCGCAGGCGGCUCGGAAAGAAAGAUGUGAAAUCCCAGAGCUUAACUUUGGAACUGCAUUUUUAACUACCGUGCUAGAGUGUGUCAAGGGAGUGGAAUUCCGCGUGUAACAGUGAAAAUGCGUAGAUUUGCGGAAGC
rnacentral:rRNA from 1 species